CUCUCUCUCUCUCUCUCUCUCUCUCUCUCUCUCUCUCUCUCUCUCUCUCUCUCUCCAUGUUUUAUCAGAUAAUUAUAUUGGAUGAGUAUAUCUUACUAUAACUCUCCCUCUUAUCAUGUUUAUCAGGAAACUAAAUCUCUCUCCCUCUCCAUCCCCCUCCCUCACUUCUAUUUACGUUGCUUUCUCUACCAUUCCUUUGGUUUCAGGUAAGCUCUUGUAGGGUUUCUUAUGCAGUUCUUUAGCUUUUUCUCUCCCUAUCCAAUGAUUUAAUAUAAGGUAUACAUCUUGGCUUUCUGAUCCUAUAAUGCACUUCUUAUCUUCUACAAUUUAUUUGUUUGUUUUCUUUCUUUUAACUCUUUCUUCUUCCACUUCCUUCUUCUGCUAACUUGAUCAGUUUAUGCUCUCCCAGUGACAUAUAUAAUGUGGGUGUUUCAAUAUCUAAUACUGGCAAUCUCAUCCAAGAAACUACAUCUCUAGUGGCUUUGGUGUUUGCCAACCUUCCCUACGUAUUUCUUUCUUUAGAAAUCAGCCUACGGGACGAUGCUCCAAUGGUCUUUUUAUGAUUAACUAUAUUGAUUGUGAGGAGAAGCUUAAAAGAUCAAUUUUCUUCGCGGGGAGAUCGAUGGUAAUGAUUAUAAUCAUCCCUUCUUCCUAGGCAAAACCAUGGACAACCUGCAACAGGGUUUGGUGCUUCAUAUUAUUCAAUCCAUCAAAACAAUUGCUAUGGAUUUGACAUGGACUCUCUACAAAAAGCAUGUCGUGGAAGUAGAGGACAAUAUAAUUUUUAUCUAAGCAAUGUAUGUGGAGUUCCAGAAGCUACAGUAUGUCCCAUUCCUUGUGCACAUAUCAAUUGGGAUGACAUUCGUUUGUCAAAGAAGGCAUACAAGAACAAGGCCUAGGGUAUUCGAGAUCUUACAUAAACUCAAUUCUUUAUUUUAGGAUUCU